rnacentral:rRNA from 1 species
CACUGAUCCAUUGAAGCCCACCAGUGGCGAAGGCGGCUUGCCAGAACGCGCUCGACGGUGAGGGAUGAAAGGUGGGGGAGCAAACCGGAUUAGAUACCCGGGUAGUCCCAGCUGUAAACGAUGCAGACUCGGUGAUGGGCUGGCUUAGUGCCAACCCGGUGCCGCAGGGAAGCCGUUAAGUCUGCCGCCUGGGGAGUACGGUCGCAAGACUGAAACUUAA